ACGUGGCGGCGGCCCCCGGCUGCCGGCGGAGGGGAAGCGGGGGUGGGGGCGGCGGGGCCGCUGCCCAGCGGCCGCUAGCGCGGCGGGAGCGGCGGCCUGCCGUCCGCCCCGCGCCCCGUCCCCCGCGCAUCCCGAGGCUGAGAGCUCCCGUUAGGAGCGUGACACGCAGCCCCGCGGGCGACCGGGCUUGACUUGAAAGGAAGCCAGGCUUAGGGUCUUGUGCCCUUUUCAGCCAUCUGCGUGAAGGGCGGCCUCUAACAGCUCAAAAGGGAUCACAGAACCGCUGAGGUGGGCAGGGACCUCACCCCUCUGCUCAGAGCAUGGUCAGCCACAGCAAGUUUCCUGAGACUGUUUCCAGCCAGAUAUUGAGUAUCUCCAGGGACAGAGAUUCUCUGGCCAGCCUGUUCCAGUGUUCACUCGCGCUUUAAAGUCUGAGCGAAAAUUGAAGACACCAUGAGACGGCACUGGACUGCUCAAGCCGGUUUGGCAGAGCUCCUCGUAAAAGCAGAUCAGAAAGUAUGAAAGUAGAUGGAAUUCUCAAUCAGAAAAAUUAUAAGGAGACAGAAUAUUUCUGCCUUGUAUUUAGCAAAAUAAUUGUUUCUGAAAACAUUGCCCAAUGCUGCAACUGCUUCUCAGGUAUGACAAUGCAGAGAUGCUAAACAUGUUGAGCUUGUAAAGGUAUCUGGGAUCAAGAAAGCGCAAUUUGAACCGUGAUCAGCAGUGACACAGAAAAGCCCAUCCUAAAACAUUUCCGUACUUGUGCAGUCUUGGGGGCACACAGCCGGAUCUUUGCUCUCAACCACAUCACAGGUGCCAUCUGGACAAGUCUUGAUACUCGGGGUGCACGUGGAAUAGUUUGUGGUGAUCCCUGUUAACACAGAAACAGGCAGCUGAACAAAUACCACCAGGCUUUGAAGUGCACACUGACGCACCGCAGCACAGGUUACUGUUCUUUUUAAAAUAAACAUCAAUGAAUAUAAACAUCAUCUGCUAAAGUAACAGGCAAGACAACAGCUAAAAGCAACUGGAAGAAAUAUAUUUUUCACUGUGUCUUCUGCUUUUGACAGCCCUUUGGGCAUGUCACUUGCAGUUACAGUGAGUAUUACUUGAAAAAGAGCUAGCUGACCACUUUGAGACUGAAGAGCGGCUUUCACAACUAAGGAUGUCUCUACACAAUUUCACACAUACUUGAAUAUGAAGGUUACAAGUAGUCGAAGAGAAUUUGUGAUACUCGGGCAGUUUGAAGGGAUAAAGCAUCGGCACAGAAGCAUUGUUCUGGAAGAGUCGAGUACUGUUACCCAUCAGAUCUGUGCUACAGACCACAGAAAACAAACAGAGACACUGCUUCUGCGCUCGCUAACUGUCUGCUGAGGCAUACCUCCUCAGAGGCUCAUUGGUCUGUGCAGCACAGAGGAAUCAUUCACAUAAAGGCUUCCAUAUUUGUCUUCUCGGCCUUGAAGUAUGCUGACGGGAUAACAGCUUACGCUGGGGGACAGUAACUUGUAGGUGAUGUUCACACCACGGAAUUUCAUACAGUUUUCAAUGCAGAUUUUUCCUAUCUAGGCUCAAACACCAACAACGAAAUCACAGACAACAGAAACAAAACUAUUCCCAAAUAUAUCUGAAAGAAAAUUGAGCAUAUUACACCUUGCAAAGUUCGGCAUUUAUCUUGGGUUUACAGAUUUGAUGUUUUACUACCAACGCAGUACGUGAAUGCUUCAAAUGUGAUUUAUUCUCAGUAAAAAUGAAAGGUAAAGCAUUACCAUUGUUUUCAGGCUAGCAGUGGAAAUGCAAAAAGCCUUGACCCAGAGACUCAGUGAUAUUUGAUGCCUACUGCUGAUGGUCAGCAGCGUUCAGGGAGAACAAGACCCUGUGAUUUGGGAAAGUCUUAAGUUCAGUCUGUGAAAAGUGUUCAUCUGAUUCGUGUCAAUAUAAACAAUGCUAGGGCCGCAUAAUAAAAUGUGACCCUCACUGUAACCAUUUUGUCAGUCCUCGUAUAACCGCAGGCCGGGAGGAAACAGAUGAUACGUAUAUAGUUCUUUUUUGCCAGCCCAAAACCGGUUUUGUUGUUAACUGCGCAGUGUUAAACAAGAGAUCCUAGGGGAGAACUGAGGCAUUUAUCAUAGUAUUAAGCGAGGUUACGAACGGGGUGAUCUUUAUUAUGUAUGAAUAGAGGGUGUAUUGAAGUGG